CCUUUUCUCAAAAAAGGUAAAUAAGUAAAUAAAUAAAAAUUCCUGAAAUGCUGAGUCAGGACUAGAACAUUCCCUUUCACAGGGUAUAUAAAGUCCUCCCCAACAUGCCCCAAGGAUCUCUCCAACCCCUUCCAUACUUGCCAGCCCAGCCAUGGUGUGCUUUCAUCUCUGACCUUUGCAUAUGGUGUUUCUCUACCUCAGAUAUCCUCAAAACUGUCUCCAUAUGUACCACAAUUUCCCUUUACUUGCCUAAUCCUUCCCCUUCACCUCUUUGCUCAAGUAUAUCUGGGCCGCUUCCUCUCCCAGGUUGGGUAUCGACCUCAGAUGACAUUGUACUGUCCCACUGCAAAGGCUGUGACCUCUUUCCUAUUGGUCGAUGAACAACAAGAGAACUAUCCCCUAUCCUUGUACCUCAGGUGUGUAGCGCAUUGCCUGGCAUGUUGAUGGUGUUCAGAAGACAUGACUGGUCCACCUGGAGCUGAGAGCUUACUUAACAAGUGCUAGUGCAAUCUUAAUUUUGCAAGCAGUGGCUGAAACACACCGCGCCACCUGGAGAGCAUGAGGCAGGUUUGUGCACCAGGGCACCAAUCCCAAAGGUGGUCCGAGGAUCUCCUUCAAGGAGAAUUUAGAAGAAGGUAAUAUAGCUAUGUUCUUAUUCUUAAAAGACUCUUUAAUUAGACUGAAUGGUAGAACGCUUUAAAAAGCACAAUUGGUUCCCCUUUUCGUCUUUUAUUUCCUUAGGGAGAAAAAAAGAUCCUGGUGGUUGACAUGUGGGAGGCAGAGCCAUGAGUUCCAUAGGAGGAUCUAUAUAUAGCUCUGUGAUCAACAGCUUUGCUUCCUUGCCUCCUUAGCAGCUGGAGACAAGCUGUUUCUUCCAGAUGUGGGAUGGAGAAGGUGCAUGCAGGCAAACUUACACAUGCCUGGUGUGCAGCAAGAGGCUCCACAAACAUUUGCCCAAUAUGCUUCUCCUGAAGACAAUCUCAUGUUUAUUAGCAUAAGCUCUGGAAAUUGGGACUAGCAAAUUGAAGAGUCACUUAUGAGCUGAGUGACAGACCAAGCCCAGGCCCCAGAACUUUGAUCCAACCUCAACCUGAGACAGCACCAGAAUGUAUAACCACCCCUUAACAGCCCCUCCUGAGAAUUGACUGACAGCAAGAGAAGACAUUUCCUGUUCAACUGUCCCAUCACACCACCUGCUCAUCCCACUCCCCCAUUCCAGGUUCUGUUUAGUCUUGCACACCCCUCCAUAUAAAAGAAACCCCCUUUCCAUCUGCCCUUUGAGAGGCUUACAAAGCUUAUGACUGGAGUGUUCUUGCCACUGCAUUAGACCUCCUACUGUAACAGACCCCUUCUCUUACGCAAUAAUCCUUCUGAGUAAAGUCUCUCCUUACCUAAGUCCAGAUUUGUUUUUAACACAAGAAUGUAUGGAAACCCACCCAGUUCCAGCUUGAUUCAUUCUUCCAGACAAGAAACAAAAAGAAACUGACCACCAAAGACUGAAGGGCAUCAAUACUGACCACAGUAUGGAUGAUGGUGAUAACGGUGGCUAGCCUCUUCAUAUUGAAGUUUCUGGCUACUCUGCUGCUUCCCUACUGUUAUAUAAUAAAGAUUUUGGCUGGUCUUUGUUGCCAGUUCCUAAA